CCUACGGGUGGCAGCAGUGAGGAAUAUUGGUCAAUGGGCGCGAGCCUGAACCAGCCAAGUCGCGUGAAGGAUGAAGGCCCUAUGGGUUGUAAACUUCUUUUAUAUGGGAAUAAAGUGCGGCACGUGUUCCUUUUUGUAUGUACCCUAUGAAUAAGCAUCGGCUAACUCCGUGCCAGCAGCCGCGGUAAUACGGAGGAUGCGAGCGUUAUCCGGAUUUAUUGGGUUUAAAGGGUGCGUAGGUGGUUAAUUAAGUCAGCGGUAAAAAUUGGGGGCUCAACCCCGGAGUGCCGUUGAAACUGGCGUGCUUGAGUGGGGGAGAGGUAGGCGGAAUGCGUGGUGUAGCGGUGAAAUGCAUAGAUAUCACGAAGAACUCCGAUUGCGAAGGCAGCAUGCCGGAGCGUAACUGACGCUGAAGCACGAAAGUGUGGGUAUCGAACAGGAUUAGAUACCCUAGUAGUC
rnacentral:rRNA from 1 species